GACGAACGCUGGCGGCGUGCCUAAUACAUGCAAGUCGAGCGCAGGAAGUCAUCCGAACCCUUCGGGGGGACGUUGACGGAAUGAGCGGCGGACGGGUGAGUAACACGUAAAGAACCUGCCCUCAGGUCUGGGAUAACCACGAGAAAUCGGGGCUAAUACCGGAUGGGUCAUCGGACCGCAUGGUCCGAGGAUGAAAGGCGCUUCGGCGUCGCCUGGGGAUGGCUUUGCGGUGCAUUAGCUAGUUGGUGGGGUAACGGCCCACCAAGGCGACGAUGCAUAGCCGACCUGAGAGGGUGAUCGGCCACACUGGGACUGAGACACGGCCCAGACUCCUACGGGAGGCAGCAGUAGGGAAUCUUCCACAAUGGACGAAAGUCUGAUGGAGCAACGCCGCGUGAACGAUGAAGGCCUUCGGGUCGUAAAGUUCUGUUGUAAAGGGAAAGAAACAAAGUGCCGCAAGGCAAAUGGCG
rnacentral:rRNA from 1 species